GAGGCUAGAAUAGCGGCUGUGCUGGGCUUUUACCCGGUCUCCAAAACCGGAGGUUGGGGGUUCGAGUCCCUCCGCCCCU
rnacentral:tRNA from 1 species